rnacentral:rRNA from 1 species
UUUCCUACGGGAGGCAGCAGUAGGGAAUAUUGCUCAAUGGGCGAAAGCCUGAAGCAGCAACGCCGCGUGCGUGAUGAAGGUCUUCGGAUCGUAAAGUGCUUUUCUGGGAGAUGAGAAAGGACAGUAUCCCAGGAAUAAGUCUCGGCUAACUACGUGCCAGCAGCCGCGGUAAAACGUAGGAGGCAAGCGUUAUCCGGAUUCACUGGGCGUAAAGCGCGUGCAGGUGGCGCGGUAAGUUGGAUGUGAAAUCUCCCGGCUCAACUGGGAGAGGUCAUUCAAUACUACCGUGCUUGAGAGCAGAAGAGGAAGAUGGAAUUCCCGGUGUAGUGGUGAAAUGCGUAGAUAUCGGGAGGAACACCAGUGGCGAAGGCGAUCUUCUGGUCUGUUUCUGACACUCAGACGCGACAGCUAGGGUAGUAAACGGGAUUAGAGACCCCGGUAAUCCUAGCCGUAAACGAUGUGAACUUGGCGUUGGUGGGUUAAACUCCAUCAGUGCCGCAGCAAACGCGAUAAGUUCACCGCCUGGGGACUACGGCCGCAAGGUUAAAACUCAAAGGAAUUGACGGGGGCCCGCACAAGCAGCGGAGCGUGUGGUUUAAUUCGAUGCUACACGAAGAACCUUACCCAGGCUUGACAUACAGGUGGUAGGGAUCCGAAAGGUGACCGACCCGCAAGGGAGCCUGUACAGGUGUUGCAUGGCUGUCGUCAGCUCGUGUCGUGAGAUGUUCGGUUAAGUCCGCUAACGAGCGCAACCCUCGCUGCGUGUUACAAGUGUCACGCAGGACCGCCGGUAUUAAGCCGGAGGAAGGUGGGGAUGACGUCAAGUCAGCAUGGCCUUUAUGCCUGGGGCUACACACACGCUACAAUGGGCAGUACAAUGGGUUGCUAAGCCGCGAGGUGGAGCCAAUCCCCCAAAACUGUCCUCAGUUCAGAUUGCAGGCUGCAACUCGCCUGCAUGAAGCUGGAGUUGCUAGUAAACGCGCGUCAGCUAUAGUGCGUUGAAUACGUUCUCGGGCCUUGUACACACCGCCA